GCGACCUACGGGUACGGGGAUUAGGGUUCGAUUCCGGAGAGGGAGCCUGAGAAACGGCUACCACAUCCAAGGAAGGCAGCAGGCGCGCAAAUUACCCAAUCCCAACACGGGGAGGUAGUGACAAUAAAUAACAAUAUGGGGCCUUUACGGGUCUCGUAAUUGGAAUGAGUACAAUUUAAAUCUCUUAACGAGGAACAAUUGGAGGGCAAGUCUGGUGCCAGCAGCCGCGGUAAUUCCAGCUCCAAUAGCGUAUAUUAAAGUUGUUGCAGUUAAAAAGCUCGUAGUUGAAUUUCGGGAUCUAUCCGUCGGUCGGGCCUCACGGUCCGCACUGGUGUGAUGGAUUCCUACCUUCUGAAUAACCGGUAUGCCAUUAAUUUGAUGUGCCGGGGAAGCAGAACCAUUACCUUGAAAAAAUUAGAGUGCUCAAAGCAGGCCUAUGCCUGAAUACAUUAGCAUGGAAUAAUAAAAUAGGACGGCAUGGUUCUAUUUUGUUGGUUUCUAGGAUCACCGUAAUGAUUAAUAGGGAUAGUUGGGGGCAUUAGUAUUCAAUUGUCAGAGGUGAAAUUCUUGGAUUUAUUGAAGACUAACUUCUGCGAAAGCAUUUGCCAAGGAUGUUUUCAUUAAUCAAGAACGAAAGUUAGGGGAUCGAAGACGAUCAGAUACCGUCGUAGUCUUAACCAUAAACUAUGCCGACUAGGGAUCGGACGAUGUUAAUUUUAUAAUGACUCGUUCGGCGCCUUACGGAAACAGUGGGGGGGGGGGGACACAAAUAAGGGC
rnacentral:rRNA from 1 species